AACUUAGGUCCCUACUUCAUCCCUAACUCAAGUCCUCUCUAACUCUAACUCCAAAACUGACUGAGACUCUAACUGUCAUCCAUUCUCUUAAAUAUCCUUAGUUCCACCUCUUCUGUACAGCCAUUGGCUCCCGAGUCAGGGUUCCAUUGUGAUGGACAGGAGUGGUUCCUGACCUGUCCGUCACAGUGUGGCUGGCUGGAACCCUGGACUGGAAUAUCCUUAUGAAAAAGGCACUGCAUACGGCAUAUAGAAGAUGUUCCUCCAUUUCCACACUGUUGCAACUGCCCACAUGUUCAAAGAGACCAGCAGAAAUGGCUGUGGGUGGAAGUGAGUGUGCCAGGACCUGAUAUACAGCUG
rnacentral:lncRNA from 1 species